rnacentral:rRNA from 1 species
UGGGGAAUUUUGGACAAUGGGCGCAAGCCUGAUCCAGCCAUGCCGCGUGUCUGAAGAAGGCCUUCGGGUUGUAAAGGACUUUUGUUAGGGAGCAAGUCCUGCAGGUUAAGAGCCAGUAGGGAUGAGAGUACCUAAAGAAUAAGCACCGGCUAACUACGUGCCAGCAGCCGCGGUAAUACGUAGGGUGCAAGCGUUAAUCGGAAUUACUGGGCGUAAAGGGUGCGCAGGCGGUAUUGUAAGCCAGAUGUGAAAUCCCCGGGCUCAACCUGGGAACUGCGUUUGGAACUGCAAUGCUAGAGUGUGUCAGAGGGGGGUGGAAUUCCACGUGUAGCAGUGAAAUGCGUAGAGAUGUGGAGGAACACCGAUGGCGAAGGCAGCCCCCUGGGAUAACACUGACGCUCAGGCACGAAAGCGUGGGGAGCAAACAGG